rnacentral:sRNA from 1 species
AGUGAACCAUGUUUGUAGCGGAAAUCCUUUUAUUGCGUGGUUGUGCAAUAAAAGAUUGGAGCGAAAGCCUGACCCGCC